rnacentral:rRNA from 1 species
GGGCCCGCACAAGCGGUGGAGCAUGUGGUUUAAUUCGAUGAUACGCGAGGAACCUUACCAGGGCUUAAAUGUAACGGGACAGAUCUAGAGAUAGAUCCUUCUUCGGACUCAUUACAAGGUGCUGCAUGGUUGUCGUCAGCUCGUGCCGUGAGGUGUCAGGUUAAGUCCUAUAACGAGCGCAACCCCCAUCGUUAGUUGCCAACGAGUAAUGUCGGGAACUCUAACGAAACUGCCGGUGCAAACCGUGAGGAAGGUGGGGAUGACGUCAAAUCAUCACGGCCCUUACGUCCUGGGCUACACACGUGCUACAAUGGUCGGUACAGAGAGCAGCCACUACGCGAGUAGGAGCAAAUCUUCAAAGCCGAUCUCAGUUCGGAUCGGAGUCUGCAACUCGACUCCGUGAAGCUGGAAUC